GUAGUCCUUGCCGUAAACGAUGUGUACUUGAUGUAUUCGGUCUCAACCCCGAGUGUGUCGAAGCUAACGCGAUAAGUACACCGCCUGGGGAGUACGCCCGCAAGGGUGAAACUCAAAAGAAUUGACGGGGACCCGCACAAGCAGUGGAGCAUGUGGUUUAAUUCGAUGCAACGCGAAGAACCUUACCCAGACUUGACAUACAGAGGAAGUCACUAGAGAUAGUGACGUUCGCAAGAACUUCUGAACAGGUGCUGCAUGGCUGUCGUCAGCUCGUGCCGUGAGGUGUUGGGUUAAGUCCCGCAACGAGCGCAACCCUUAUUGUUAGUUGCCAACAGGUGAUGCUGGGAACUCUAACGAGACUGCCCGGGUUAACCGGGA
rnacentral:rRNA from 1 species